GAAAUGCGAUAAGUAAUGUGAAUUGCAGAAUUCAGUGAAUCAUCGAAUCUUUGAACGCACAUUGCGCCCGCCAGUAUUCUGGCGGGCAUGCCUGUUCGAGCGUCAUUUCAACCAUCAAGCCCCCGGCUUGUGUUGGGGACCCGCGGCUGCCCGCAGGCCCUGAAAAACAGUGGCGGGCUCGCUGUCACACCGAGCGUAGUAGCAUACAUUCUCGCUCAGGGCGUGCUGCGGGUUCCGGCCGUUAAACGACCUUCAUAACCCAAGGUUGACCUCGGAUCAGGUAGGAAAACCCGCUGAACUUAAGC
rnacentral:misc_RNA from 1 species